CACGUAGGGGGCGAGCGUUGUCCGGAUUUAUUGGGCGUAAAGAGCUCGUAGGCGGCUCAGUAAGUCAGGGGUGAAAACUCCAGGCUCAACCUGGAGACGCCACCUGAUACUGCUGUGGCUAGAGUCCGGUAGGGGAGCAUGGAAUUCCUGGUGUAGCGGUGAAAUGCGCAGAUAUCAGGAGGAACACCAGUGGCGAAGGCGGUGCUCUGGGCCGGAACUGACGCUGAGGAGCGAAAGCGUGGGGAGCAAACAGG
rnacentral:rRNA from 1 species